rnacentral:rRNA from 1 species
UGCGGUGACGAUGCGUGCGGGGAAACACCCGUUACCAUUCCGAACACGGAAGUGAAGUCCGCACGGCCGAUGGUAGUCGCAAGGCGAGAGUAGGUGAUUGCCGCAU